UACGUAGGGUGCAAGCGUUGUCCGGAAUUAUUGGGCGUAAAGAGCUCGUAGGCGGUCUGUCACGUCUGCUGUGAAAACUCGGGGCUUAACCCCGGGCCUGCAGUGGGUACGGGCAGACUAGAGUGCGGUAGGGGAGACUGGAAUUCCUGGUGUAGCGGUGAAAUGCGCAGAUAUCAGGAGGAACACCGGUGGCGAAGGCGGGUCUCUGGGCCGUAACUGACGCUGAGGAGCGAAAGCGUGGGGAGCGAACGGG
rnacentral:rRNA from 1 species